AGGUCUUUAAGAUAAGUUAGUCUGCAGGUUUCCAAAACCUGGUGUGGGGGUUACCCCAGGACCUG
rnacentral:tRNA from 1 species